AUAUUUUGUAUCAUUGCUUGCUCCCUAAAAUUCUCAAUCAUUACAAUUUUGUGUAAAGUCUUGUGUUAACUCAUUCACUGAAUGUAUCCCAUAUAUGAAUAGAAGCAAGUUUUUACCACUGGAAGAUGACCCAAGUACUCAGGCCCCUGCCACCCACUUGGAAAACCCAGACGCAGUUUAGGCUCCUGGCUUCAGCCUGGCCCGGAAGCUGGUUCCUCUCAUCAGCACAUAAUUGUUUUGCACCUUUUGAAGCAUCAUUACUUCCUUGUCUGUGCCAAGACAGGAUGUCAGCUGCUCUUAGGUCAGGUCUAGACAGGGCAAUCAAGUCAGCCAAGGUAAAUUCAGUAGUCAGUCACCUAAGCGGAUGAUUGUCUACUUGGUAACUUUAUGGACCAUGUGAUAGUUUAAUGUAGAUUUUGUUGUUGAGGUAAACAAAGAAGCUUUGUAAGCUGUCUUAUGAUCUUUCAGACAUGGCAGGAAGUUGUUUCUACAUGGCUUUGACUGUCAUUGAAUAAAACAAAAUUUCAAAUGCUGUCAGUAAGUGGGCUAUGUCAGAAUGUCGCCUCAUUUGUCCAGGUAGACACACAAUCCUAAAUGAUAAUAUCUCUCAUUACAGAGCGCUUACUCUGGUGCCAGACAUGAAUCAACUCCGUGCUGACACAGUUUGUGACAGAGUUAAGAUUUGAACUACUAGCCAUUCCACUUGUCCAUAAACAGUAAUCUCAAUGACUCACAUGGAAGUAAUCAUCAAAACAAUCACAUAAUGCUUUUGGAUCUCUCCAUCGCCUGAUAAGGGAUUAGGAUGGAGAUGAGCUUACGUGACAGUUAAUCCAGUUUGACCAUGGGGACUGGAGCAACAUCCUGGAGGAGACCUGAGUGACAAGAUAAAAGGGACCUGGAUCCUUGCUCUCUGGAAAGGCACAGCAACUUGUCCAUCCUGGAUUGUUUGCUCAUGUCUGGUCUGUUAUGAAAAAGAGAAAGAGUGCUAAACUCCUAUCCCAUUUUAGUCAAUAUAUUUGGGCUUUUUGUCCAAGCAACCUAGCUCAUACCCUCAAAGAGCCACAAUCUCCAUGGUGAUGAUACCUGGUGGUCUAGGUCACAUCUAUGAUGGUCCCCAGUGAUUCAUGCCUCCUGGAGAUCCAUGAAUACCUUUGAGUAAUCCUGAUCUCUUGCAUGUUUGCUUGCCUAGUGGCUCUCCUCUAACUAAUAGAAUGUAAUAAAGAUGAUGGGGUGCCAUGUCUGUAGUUAAUAUCUAAAAGAAUAAAAGACUGACAUCAAUAUUUCAAGUUAUCAAGUUGGAGGGUCCCAUGUUGCAUGGAAGUGUAGGUGGCCUCUGAUCAACAAACAGCAAGUAAUGGAAAUCCCCAGUUCCACCAUUUGCCAGCAACUAUGGGAAUUUGGAAACAGAUCCUUGUCUGGAUGAACUGCAAGAUGACUGCAUCCCAGCUGACUUCUUGUCUAGAGUCUGUAGGAGUCUGAUGUGCAGGAACUAGCUAAGCAAUGCCUGGGCUCCUAACUGACACACAGAAAAUGUGAGACAACGAAUGUGGUUAAAUUUGGGGAUAAUAUGUUAUGCAGUAAAAGUAACUAAUACUUUUUAGAUAUAAGUUUACUUUUGUACAAUGAUAAGCCAUAGAAGCAUGUUGAAAUCAGGAAAUGAAUUUUAAGAUAUCACAGAAGGAGGUGGGAUACACACUAAUGUUGGACCACAAAAGACAUCAGUUCUUAGCCAUGAAUUCCAGGGCUUGAUCUACUUUGGAAAUCCAUAGACCUGAUUUGCUAGCCAGUCCAGGGUUCUACAGGCUCAGGAAAACUUAACUGGCUAAACAAACUCCCAAGAGAGUUAUAUCAAUUUCACCAUACUAAUUUAUUAAUUCACCUAGAUAAACAAAUCACCAAGUAGAUCAGAUAAAUUUGGUAGAAUUUUUCAAGGCUCAUUUAAAUGUUGCCUUCUUUUCUCCUUCUAGUUUCUUAUAGAAAAAUCUCAAGUAAACACACAUACAUCACACAUUUUCAUUUGCAGACCAGAAUUUUAUGAGCUGUUAGAUUGAUACCAUUGCUUGGUACACAGCUUGCUUCCAUAAUCAGCCAUGCCUUGAUUAAGACUUUUAGAUCUUUUUAAGCCUUCUAGGUCCUGGUAGGUAUCCAGAAACCCAUCUGGCCUUUUUUCUUAGAGUUGAGUCUUGCUCAGGUGCAAGAUACUUUUCAUCCCAGUCUUUUGGAAUCCUCUGUCAAAACUUUAAUUGGACUUUGGUCACUAAUGCAGUCCAUCUGCAGUACCCUUGCUGCCUGUGCUAUGCUGGCUUUCUGUUUUCUGUGAUGAUUGCAAUGACUCCUUUACACAUUGUAAUAUGUACUUCUUAUGCCCCACCUUGCAUUCUCUCUGCCCAUUUUUUACUCUCUCCAUUGCCAUGACAAGCAGCACUAGGAAGGUAUAACCCUGGCAGCAUAAUGUGUUAGUUGUACUUUGUUAUCAUUUGAUUUCUACCUGGGACUUCUUAGAUGGCUUUGAGUGAGAUUCCUGGAGAAACUUGCCUGGCACUCCUGCUGCUGUAGCCUCAAAAAAAGGGAGGUCAAGCCCCCCAGUCAACCCUUGACUAAAAGGAAAUGAAGAAGAUGAAUAAAUUCUGAGAUUUAUUAUAUAUGACUUCUUAGGAGUAUCUGAAAGCAAUAUAGAGCCUUUUUCACCCACAGUUGCAUUUACUCAAGAACAUGGCUUUGAAUUGGUAUUUUAUCCCUCCCUGCUUCACCUUUCCUAUUUCUCCAUUUCUAGUGGGAUCUUUUCCCUAGGCUAAAUACAUGCAAACCCUUGGCUCAGGCUCUGCUUUCUGGGAGGACCUGGCUAAGACUCACUUCAGAAGCUCAUCUCAUGUAGGCUACCUCUCUCUGUUGUUAUUACUUAAUGAUUUCCUUGUCAUUACUCCACUGAGAUCUGAGAUCUUUGGCCUUUGACACUUUCCCUUUACUCCUGCUAUUGUCCUACAGCAAGGAUGACUAAUCUACCACCCAAGCAUUACAGAUUGUUAUGGCAUUCUUUGCGUAUAGCAUUCUUGCUGGAAACUGAUAUUAUUCUGCACAGCUCCAUUUCCACAAUCUCAAACACCAAUAUCCCAUUCUUGGACAUCAAUAUUCUCUUUAUCCAGUUUCCUUAUUCUUCUCAAUGAAGUUUAAAUACUUCAACAAGACCCCUGGUGCUUUGCCUUCUCUAUUUUCGUUCCCUUCCCUAUCCAUCCUAGAGCUCAUGGUUAAUUAUUUCAAUCAUCCUCUUUACCCUCCCACUCCUGUAUAUUUUGCCUUCUGAGACUUAUUUUUGUCAUCUGAUGAUUCCAUUCAUAAUCAGGCAGCUGAGCACUGCUCUAGAAAAUCACUCCAUCAGGCUGAAUGAUAUCACUCUAAACAUGGACACUAAACUCAGAUAUUCCUCUCUAAGCCUGUCUUAUUAUAUACCCUGUUUUCAUGCUAUCAUAGCAGACUGUGCAUUUGACACAUGCAUGCAUCAUUUAGCUCAUACUUAAUGAGACCCUGUUAUAUGCCACAUGUUUCACUAAGAGUUAGGGAUGGAAUUCUGAGCAAAUAGGAUCUUUGCCUUUUGUGAUAUUUACAUUAUUCUCUCGCAUACUGCAAUCAUUAUACUGUGCUUACUUGCCUCCAACAUCAGAUCAACCUUGUCAUUUUAUUUAUAUUUUAAUCCAAAGAGUAUGGCAUGUAAUUUGGAAUUUAUAUAUUUUUGUUAUAUAAAUGAACAAGUGAAUUUAAAAAAUAAUUACUGCUGAUAACUAAGCCUACCAAUAAUAGCCAGAUUUUCCUAUUCAACAUUCACAGGGUAAUCUGUACUCAAUGUGGGCCCCUGAGUACUGACUGCAAGGUGCAUGAUUAAAAAACAUGCAUCAUAUCUACUUCACAACUCCAACUGUUAAGUUAUUUUCCAUUAAGAUAUAAAAUUUAUGGGCUGGCACUGGAGCUCAUUUGGUUAAUCCUUCGCCUAUGGCGCCGGCAUCCCAUAUGGGCGCCGGGUUCUAGUUCCAGUUGCUCCUCUUCAGUCCAGCUCUAUGCUGUGGCCUGGGAGAGCAGUGGAGGAUGGCCCAAGUGCUUGCCCCCCUGCACUCGCAUGGGAGACCAGGAAGAGGCACCUGGCUCCUGGCUUCAGAUCGGCACAGCGCUGGCCGUAGCAGCCAUUUGGGGAGUGAACCAACGGAAGGAAGACCUCUCUCUCUCUCUCUCUCUAAUUCUACCUGUCAUAUAAAAACGAUAUAAAAUUUAAAUGAAUCAAAGCAGUACAAUUUCCUUACUAUAACUCGUAUGGGAUUUCCUUUCCACAUCUAGUAAGUUCUGCAGCCUUUCAUCUCUGCCUCCAUGUUUUUCUCCAGGUCUCUUCUAGUUAGGUACUUGGUCUGCUCUGGAUAAUAAUUUCUGAGUUUCUGUGGGCUAUACUGGGGUAUCUAGGAACAAUCUAGAUUAUCAUCCAUUUGCUUACUGAUUGGAGAAGACUUCAAAUGUAAAAGGGUCGUGAAAAAUGUGUAUUAUGAAAAAACUAAGCAUAGCUUCAUUUUUCCCAUAAAAACAAACUUUUAAUACCACAUUCUGGGAACUUUUUGAAAUAUCCUAGUAUGGUAUUUUUUCAUAUAUUUCCUAGACUGGGCAAUUUAGAGAGAAAUUUUCUGAUUUAUGUAAAUCCACAACAAGAUGGCUAUUACCACUUAUUCAGUCAGUUCUGCGUUAAUCAAUCAUUUUUGUCUCUAAAAUGUGUAACAUAUAGAUGAAAGAAAAGGAUUUCAAACUCAAUUUGUAAUACAUACACCAGCAUGUUACUAAUAUCUUGAAGGUUGGUCAAAAAAUUAUCAGAAAAGGUCUUACAGGAGGAUUAAUUUAUUUUAUAUCAAUAAAGAACUGUAUUUUCUUAAUCUUUUUCCUUAAAGGCAACAUAAUGAAAGAAUAUAAAGUUAAUCCAUGGUUUGACUUCAUGUCCCAGCAUGAUGGAGUUGUUUUUAGACACUGAGGAGUGCCUGUGAGGGGCUACAGAGCACCUUAUAACUCAGAAACUUGGGGUUCCUUUAGGGAGAAAAGGGUACAUCAAAAGUACAAGCACAGACUGAGCUUAGCUUUUAAUUGAGCUAGGGAACAGAAAGGAUACAACAUUCAUUGUAGAAAGUUAGAAAUAUGAGGAUGUGGGAGCCAAACAUAGAACUUCCUCCCUUGGCCUUGUUUUAGCUCUAUGCCCUUUGCCACUCCCACCCUCCAUGCAUGUCCCAGCCAAAUGAACUCUUUACUUGACAUCCCUCAGGCUGCCCAUGUUUUCUCUCCUUCCUCACCUCUGCACUUUAUUUUUUUUCAAAGAUUUAUUCAUUUAUUUAUUUAUUUGAAAGGCAGAGUUACAGAGAGGCCGAGAGAGAAAGUCUUCCAUCUGCUGGUUCACUCCCCAAAUGGCUGCAGUGGCUGGAGCUGAGCGGAUCUGAAGCCAGGAGCCAGGAGCUUCUUCCAGGUCUCCCAAGUGGAUGCAGAGGCCCAAAGUCUUGAGCCAUCUUGUACUGCUUUUCCCAGGCCAAAACAGAGAUCUGAAUUAGAAGUGGAGCAGCUGGGACUUGAACUGGCACCCAUAUGGGAUGAUGGCACUGCAGGUAGCAGCUUUACCAGCUGCUAGCCACAACCCUGGCCCCUGCAUUUGCUCUUACUACUGCCUAAAGGACACUUCUUCUCCCCUUCUCAAUCCUUCUCUAGUUAUCCUAAAUAAAGGGAUAAAUGGGCUAGGGGAUUUUGGAGUAUGGUCCCAUUUCACUCUGUUUUUCCCUGGCCACUUGAGCAUGCUUUAUUUGAAUUGCUUUGCUUGACUGUUCAUUUCUUCCACCAGAGCAAAGACAUUGUGGGGGUAGGGACCAUGUCCGUAUUGUUUUCUAGUAUAGUCCUAGUACUCAGCUCAGUGUCUGGCUGGGAUAUAAGAAAUGCUUUGUGAAUGAAUGAACUUAUAACCUCUCCCUCCACAACUGACUUAUCCUUCUGAACUGACCAAUGUACACAAGUUUGGCCUGCAUUUUCCUGUCUACUCUAGAGUCAGGGAUGCCAACCCAGUCAUACAUCCUAUUGUGAAAUUUCCCAAGCCACUUUGACUUAAGAAUCACUUUAAAAUAUUGACAUAGCAUCAACAGGAGAUCCAGGAACUUGGUUGAUUUACAUACCAGAAAAAUGAAAGCCAAAAACCAGUGUCAUCCGGGAUCUGAUUGCUUUUUCUUAUUUAGAACUUUAUAUGACAAUGAAAAUAUUUCUACGUGGCCCUACGUGGAUUUCUAGGAAAAACAUUCUAUUUGCCAUAUGGGGUAAUGGGUUUGGGUAUACAAUUGUCUGUCAUUAUCCAUGGGGAAUUGGUUUUAGGAUGCCUCACAAAAAUCUGAGGAUAGUUAACGUCCUUAUAAAAAAAAGUGCAAUAUUUGCAUAUAACAUAUGCAUAUUAUCCUAUAUAAUUUAAAUAAUCACUUGAUUACUUGUGAUACCUAAUAAAAUAUAAAUGCUAUAUAAAUAAUUGAUAUUCUAUAUUGUUUAGGGAAUAAUGACAAGAAAAACAUCUGCAUGUUUUCAGUACAGAUGUAGUUUUUUUCUGGUAUUUUGUAAAAUCUGCAGUUGAUUGAAUCCAUGGAUAGAGCACCUGCAGAUAACGGAGUGCUACAUGUGGCCUGUCUGGAAGAACUGGAAGACUAGAGGGGCACAUCAGUAGGGGAAGGAGGGAAGGCAGAUACAGAGACAGCAGAGCUGGCAGCGAGCAGAAUAGCGGAGUUUCUCGGGGAGUGGUGUCCCAAGGGAAGUUUUGAAAUGAAGUCAUCCACCAUGUGAAAGACACAUCUCCAUGGUCUUCACAUGAACUCUUCAGUAAAAUCUAUCCUUGCAGUCAUGCCCUGUGGAGUGGAUUUUCUGAUUUGGAAAUUUAGAGAAGGGCCGAUGAUUGCACAGGACACAUGGAGAGGCUGCUGCUGGAACAGGUCACUUUCUGAGUGGCCACAGGAAGUCAUAACUCAGCAGAGCAACGCAUCCAAAAAAAAAAAAAAAAAACCCACAA